rnacentral:rRNA from 1 species
UGGGGAAUAUUGGACAAUGGGCGAAAGCCUGAUCCAGCCAUGCCGCGUGAGUGAUGAAGGCCCUAGGGUUGUAAAGCUCUUUCGCAGGUGAAGAUAAUGACGGUAACCUGAGAAGAAGCCCCGGCUAACUUCGUGCCAGCAGCCGCGGUAAUACGAAGGGGGCUAGCGUUGUUCGGAAUUACUGGGCGUAAAGCGCACGUAGGCGGACUAUUAAGUCAGGGGUGAAAUCCCGGGGCUCAACCCCGGAACUGCCUUUGAUACUGGUAGUCUCGAGUCCGAGAGAGGUGAGUGGAAUUCCGAGUGUAGAGGUGAAAUUCGUAGAUAUUCGGAGGAACACCAGUGGCGAAGGCGGCUCACUGGCUCGGUACUGACGCUGAGGUGCGAAAGCGUGGGGAGCAA